GCGGUCGUGGCGGAAUUGGUAGACGCGCAGCGUUGAGGUCGCUGUGGGCGUUGAGCCCGUGGAAGUUCGAGUCUUCUCGACCGCACCA
rnacentral:tRNA from 1 species